CCUACGGGGGGCUGCAGUGAGGAAUAUUGGUCAAUGGGCGCGAGCCUGAACCAGCCAAGUCGCGUGAGGGAAGACGGUCCUAUGGAUUGUAAACCUCUUUUGUCGGGGAGCAAAAGACGCCACGCGUGGCGUUCCGCGAGUACCCGAAGAAAAAGCAUCGGCUAACUCCGUGCCAGCAGCCGCGGUAAUAAGGAGGAUGCGAGCGUUAUCCGGAGUUAUUGGGUUUAAGGGGGGGGUAGGCGGAAGAUCAAGGCAGCGGUAAAAUUGAGAGGCUCAACCUCGUCGAGCCGUUGAAACUGGUUUUCUUGAGGCAGUGAGAAGUAUGCGGCAUUCGUGGUGUAGCGGUGACCUGCCUAGAUAUCACGCAGAACUCCGAUUGCGAAGGCAGCAUACCGGCGCUCAACUGACGCUCAUGCACGAAAGUGUGGGUAUCGAACAGGAUUAGAUACCCUGGUAGUC
rnacentral:rRNA from 1 species